rnacentral:rRNA from 1 species
UACGGGGGGGGCAAGCGUUGUUCGGAAUUACUGGGCGUAAAGGGCUCGUAGGCGGCCAAUUAAGUCAGACGUGAAAUCCCUCGGCUUAACCGGGGAACUGCGUCUGAUACUGGCUGGCUUGAAUCCGGGAGAGGGAUGCGGAAUUCCAGGUGUAGCGGUGAAAUGCGUAGAUAUCUGGAGGAACACCGGUGGCGAAGGCGGCAUCCUGGACCGGCAUUGACGCUGAGACGCGAAAGCGUGGGGAGCGAACAGG